UACAGAGGGUGCAAGCGUUGUUCGGAAUUAUUGGGCGUAAAGGGCGCGUAGGCGGUUCGGCAAGUCUCUAGUGAAAUCUCAGGGCUCAACUCUGAGUCUGCUGGGGAAACUGCCGGGCUUGAGUGUGGGGAGAGGAGAGUGGAAUUCCCGGUGUAGCGGUGAAAUGCGUAGAUAUCGGGGAGGAACACCUGUGGCGAAAGGCGGCUCUCUGGACCAAUACUGACGCUCAU
rnacentral:rRNA from 1 species